rnacentral:rRNA from 1 species
CCCCCCCCCAAGUCCGCUUGAACGCGGCCACUGCCCAGGGAGGGUGCGAGGCCCGUACGGGGAUUAGGAGUCGGGCGGUCGGACGGCCCCGUCCGUAGAGUCGGGUUGCCUAUUAACGCAGCCCAAAGAAGGUGGUAAACUCCAUCUAAGGCUAAAUAUUCCCACGAGACCGAUAGCGAACAAGUACCGUGAGGGAAGGUUGAAAAGAACUUUGAAGAGAGAGUUCAAGAGUGCGUGAAACCGUUAAGAGGAAAACGGGUGGAACCUCGAAGGUCGAAGGGGGGGAUUCAGUCCGACGGCGUAUCGGAGGGCUGCGGUGUGGCGACCCCUUUUCUCGGGGCGCUCCCGCGUGCCCGACCUGCGUCGACGGGCGUAUUUCCCCCCUUAGUAGGACGCCGCGACCCGUUGCGGGGUUGCCGAAGGCCCGGGCGGGCGGAACCAUCUCAUCCUGAUGGGGACCCCCCGGUGACCUGGCCGACCCCGCGACGGUCGUCAACGUAAGUGCCCGCCCGUUGUCGGUGGUCUCCUGGACUGCCGGAUGUACGGGCGCCCCUCCCUCUCGGACCGGGGCAGAGGCGCUUUUCGGCGGCGUGUAGGUCGGCGAUCCACCCGACCCGUCUGAAACACGGACCAAGGAGUCUAACAUAUGUGCGAGUCAUUGGGCGAACUAAACCCAAAGGCGCAAUGAAAGUGAAGGGCCUCCCCCUAGGAAACUAGGAGGAGACCCGAGGGCCGAUCAGCCCUCCGCCCCCGUUGGCUGCGGCUGCGGGGGCGUUGGCUGCGCAGGCUCGGGACUUGCACGCCCCACCGUGGGUGGCGAGUACCAAGAGCAGACAUGUUGGGACCCGAAAGAUGGUGAACUAUGCCUGGCCAGGACGAAGCCAGAGGAAACUCUGGUGGAGGUCCGUAGCGAUUCUGACGUGCAAAUCGAUCGUCUGAGCUGGGUAUAGGGGCGAAAGACUAAUCGAACCAUCUAGUAGCUGGUUCCCUCCGAAGUUUCCCUCAGGAUAGCUGGUGCUCGCAACAGAGUUUCAUCCGGUAAAGCGAAUGAUUAGAGGUCUUGGGGACGAAACGUCCUCAACCUAUUCUCAAACUUUAAAUGGGUGAGAGGUCGGGCUUGCUUGACUGAAGCCCCGACAGUGAAUCUGGAGUGCCUAGUGGGCCAUUUUUGGUAAGCAGAACUGGCGCUGUGGGAUGAACCAAACGCCGAGUUAAGGGGCCUAAAUGGACGCUCAUCAGAUCCCAUGAAAGGUGUUGGUUGCUAUAGACAGCAGGACGGUGGCCAUGGAAGUCGGAAUCCGCUAAGGAGUGUGUAACAACUCACCUGCCGAAGCAACUAGCCCUGAAAAUGGAUGGCGCUCAAGCGUCCUCCCGAUACUCGGCCGUCGGGGCAUUACUGGCCGACCAGGGUCUCGAAGCCCCGACGAGUAGGAGGGUCGCCGCGGUGAGCGUAGAAGGAGUCCGGCGUGGGCCGGUCUGGAGCCGCCGCUGGUGCAGAUCUUGGUGGUAGUAGCAAAUACUCGAGCGAGAUCCUUGAGGGCUGAAAGUGGAGAAGGGUUCCAUGUGAACAUCAGUUGAACAUGGUGCAGUCGAUCCUAAGCCCAAGGAGAAAUCCGCCUUCCACAGUCCCGCCGUGCCGAACACGUCCCCGCUUAACCCCAAUUACGAGGUCUCCCUCUUCGUCCGUCCGCUCUCCUUUCAGCCAAGGAAGGUCGGGCGUGUGCCUCACUCACUCCCCGGUGCCGAGCGAACGAGCGACGGCGGACGGGGAAAAAACAUAUAUAGAUCGACUGACGAACNNNNNNNNNNNNNNNNNNNNNNNNNNNNNNNNNNNNNNNNNNNNNNNNNNNNNNNNNNNNNNNNNNNNNNNNNNNNNNNNNNNNNNNNNNNNNNNNNNNNNNGAAAAAAACGAGGGUAACGGAGAAGGCGACCUAGCCGAUGUGCCAGAGUUGCCGAUGCACCAACCCCUCACCAGCUUCACGGACCUCCCCGCUGACUGGACCGGGCCGGGCCGGGACGGGUGUACACAAACACACACCCGAGAGAACGGUUACAGACCGGCCCUCGUUCAGCCAGCAGUGCGCCCGCCUAACCCUGCGCGGCUGCCCGGCAGUUGCGCGCGCGUAGUCAAUGCGGCCGGAAGGUUCUGGGCGAAAGGGAAUCCGGUUCUUAUUCCGGAACCUCCACCCGGAGAAAGGAUGAAACCCCUCGCCUAAAGAAAGGAACUCCUGGCAACGGGAGAUAGCCUGCUGCUGCCGGCCGCGGUUCAGGGAAGAGUUGUCUUUUCUGCUUAAGAGGUCU